CCUACGGGAGGCAGCAGUGGGGAAUCUUGCGCAAUGGGCGAAAGCCUGACGCAGCAACGCCGCGUGCGGGAAGAAGGCUUUCGGGCUGUAAACCGCUUUCAGCAGGAACGAAAAUGACGGUACCUGCAGAAGAAGGAGCGGCCAACUAUGUGCCAGCAGCCGCGGUGAUACAUAGGCUUCAAGCGUUGUCCGGAUUUACUGGGCGUAAAGAGUUCGUAGGCGGUCGAGUAAGUCGGGUGUGAAAAUUCUGGGCUCAACCCAGAGACGCCACCCGAUACUGCUUAACUUGAGUUCGAUAGGGGAGUGGGGAAUUCCUAGUGUAGCGGUGAAAUGCGCAGAUAUUAGGAGGAACACCGGUGGCGAAGGCGCCACUCUGGAUCGAUACUGACGCUGAGGAAACGAAAGCAUGGGUAGACAAACAGGAUUAGAUACCCUGGUAGUCCAUGACCGUAAACGGUGGGCACUAGGUGUGGGAUUCUAUUAACGAAUUCCGCGCCGUCGCUAACGCAUUAAGUCGCCCCGCCGUGGGGAGUACGGUCGACAAGAACUAAAACUUAAAUAGUAAUUGACGGCUUGAGACGNGCGACGCGACGAGAGGGAGAG
rnacentral:rRNA from 1 species